rnacentral:rRNA from 1 species
GUGCUAGCAGGCGAGAAUUUUUCUCAAUGGGGGCAACCCUGAAGGAGCGACGCCGCGUGGAGGAUGAAGGCUUUCGGGUUGUAAACUCCUGUCAUUUGAGAACAAGUGGCCGAACCUAACUACUUCGGCCUUGAUAGUAUCAGAAGAGGAAGGGACGGGCUAACUCUGUGCCAGCGGCCGCGGUAAUACAGAGGUCCCAAGCGUUGUUCGGAUUCAUUGGGCGUAAAGGGUGCGUAGGUGGCGCCGUCAGUGGGGUGUGAAAUUUCGGAGCUUAACUCCGAAACUGCAGUUCCAUACUGCGGUGCUUGAGGACUGGAGAGGAGACUGGAA